GACAGAGGUGCCGAGCGUUAGGCGGAAUCACUGGGCUUAAAGCGUGUGUAGGCGGACCGUUAAGUACCUUGUGAAAUCCCCCCGGCUCAACCGGGGAACGGCUGGGUAUACUGGCGGUCUUGAGCCAUCCAGGGGCAGUCGGAACAGACGGUGGAGCGGUGAAAAUGCGUAGAUAUCAUUUGGAACGCCAAAGGUGAAAACAGACAGCUGGGGAUGUGCUGACGCUGAGACACGAAAGCCAGGGGAGCGAACGGG
rnacentral:rRNA from 1 species